GCUCUCUGUCUUUACUAUCUUCCUCUUCUUUGCAGAGGCUCUACUGCUACUCCCAGCUGUCAGCCUUUUGUUUUCCUUGGGGUUCUUCUUCCAGUUCUCAAAUAACUGUGGAGACAUCACCUUGUGCACAUUCAAGGCUUCUCCCUCAUCUUCCUUGAUUUUCCCUCCUAGUUUCUUCUUUAGAAUGAUACUCAGCAACCUUCCAUGAAAUACCUUGGUCAGUGGCUUCUUCUCAGCUUUCUCUACCCACUU
rnacentral:lncRNA from 1 species